rnacentral:lncRNA from 1 species
UGUUGAAUAUUGGCAAUAUCCCACAUUAGGAAAAGAUAGAAAUGGAGGGGGUUUGGUUUGUUAUAUAUAGAACCCCUCCCCCUUUGGUUGUAUCAUCCCAAAAUCUUCUCCUUUGUAAUAUUUCUAGAGGAAAUAUUAAUUUGGUAGUGUCCGAGGACGUAAGCUAAAUUGGCCGAACCUCGUUAAAACUCUGGUAUUUUAUUUCUUAUUUGUUUGCUUUUAUUUAAUAGCUUUAUGUUGGUUAUAUUUAUUUAGUUAUUAUUGCUAUAAAUAUCUAAGUGAGUUCUGUCUAGUUGUUGGGUUUUAAGCGGGACCAUUGUGACCCCUCCAAUUUAACUGGGAAUUUUCUUAGUAUAAUUGUUGGCAUAAUAAUUAUCUAAAUAUUUCUGAUAAUAUUGUUAUUAAUAUUAUCGUCGCUUCCGCAACAAUUGGUAUCAGAGCCAAGGUUUUGUAGUAUGCUCUGUGUUUGCAGCUUAGUCUGAUCUUACACAUCAGAAACAUUUCCUAAAGCUUGUGGGUAUUCUGCAUUUGGUGGCUAUUAAGUAGAAGCUAUGGCAAAAAUGACAGAAGAAAAACCAUCCAUAUCAACAACUUCCACUUCGUACAUUUUGCCGAGGAUUGGAACUGCAAAUACGAGAUUUGUAGUGGAAAUUUUUGAUGGAACAGGUCAUUUCGGCAUGUGGCAAAGUGAGCUUCUAGAUGCCCUCUUUCAACAGGGUCUAGAUAUUGCCAUUGAGGAAGAAAAACCAGAAGGGGUUGAUGAUAAAGAAUGGAAGACCAUCAACCGAUUGGCAUGUGGUACAAUUCGAUCAUGUCUUUCCUGAGAGCAGAAGUAUACAUUCAGUAAAGAGACUUCUGCAAGUAAAUUGUGGAAAGCAUUGGAGGAGAAAUUUCUGAAGAAGAACAGUCAAAAUAAGUUACAUAUGAAGAAAAGACUGUUUCGUUUCAGUUAUGUUCCUGGUACCACGAUGAACGAGCACAUUACCAAUUUUAAUCAGCUGGUGGCUGAUUUGUUGAAUUUGGAUGUGACUUUUGAAGACGAAGACUUGGCGUUAAUGUUGUUGGGAUCGCUUCCUGAGGAGUUUGAGUACCUUGAAACUACUCUACUUCAUGGAAAAUCGGAAGUAACUUUCAAUGAAGUAACUGCUGCAUUGUAUAGCUAUGAACUACGCCGAAAGGAUAAGUUGAAAGGUUCAGGUGAAGCAGCAGUGGAAGCAUUGGUAACAAGAGGUCGUCAGCAAAGUCAGUCUAAGGGGAAGAGAAGAAAGUCCAAAGGUCGAGCUGUUGCCAAAGAUGAAUGUUCUUUUUGCAAAGAAAAAGGACAUUGGAAGAAAGAUUGUCCAAAAUUGAAGAAAAAAGGGAAGACUCCGCAAGAUGCAAAUGUUGCAGAAUGCAAUAGUGAAGCAGAGUCAGACUUUUCUCUUAGUAUGACAUCUUCAACAUUAUAUGCAGAUGAGUGGAUCAUGGAUUCUGGUUGUUCCUAUCAUAUGUGUCCCAUUCGGGAAUGGUUCUUUGAAUUUCAAAAACUAGAUGAAGGGGUUGUUUACAUGGGUAAUGAUAACACAUGUAAAAUAGCCGGGAUAGGUUCAAUUAAACUGAGGAGUCAUGAUGGAUCUACUAGAAUUUUGCGGGAUGUACGAUAUGUCCCAAAGUUGAAGAAGAAUCUCAUCUCUUUGGGGUCGUUAGAAUCUAAAGGCCUAGUUGUGACAAUACGAGAUGGAGUUCUUAAAGCAACUUCAGGAGCAUUGGUGAUGUUGAAAGGCAUAAGAAAGAACAAUCUGUAUUACUACCAAGGUAGUACAGUGGUCGGGACAACAGCAGCAGCAAUUACGAGUACCAAGAAGGACGCUGAGGCAACACAGCUGUGGCAUAUGCGUUUGGGCCAUGCUGGUGAAAAAUCCUUGCAAACUCUAGCCAAGCAAGGAUUAUUGAAAGGUACAAAGACUUGCAAACUUGAAUUUUGCGAGCAUUGUGUUCUGGGAAAACAACGAAGGGUGAAAUUUGGCACUGGGAUUCACAAUACUAAAGGUAUUCUGGAUUAUGUGCAUUCUGAUGUAUGGGGACCGUCCAAGACUCCAUCACUUGGAGGAAGACGUUAUUUUGUCACCUUUAUUGAUGAUUUUUCCAGACGAGUUUGGGUGUUUCCUAUGAAGAACAAAGAUGAGGUGCUUGAAGUUUUCCUUAAGUGGAAAACUAAAGUUGAAAAUCAGACAGGAAGGAAGAUUAAGGUUCUCCGAUCAGACAACGGUGGAGAAUAUAAAAGCGAUCCUUUCCUGAAGAUAUGCCAAGAUUGUGGCAUAGUAAGGCACUUCACCGUAGGUGGAACACCGCAACAGAAUGGGGUGGCAGAGCGUAUGAAUCGAACGCUUGUGGAGAAAGUUCGAUGUAUGUUAUCUAAUGCUGGAUUAGAUAGAAAGUUUUGGACUGAGGCUGUGACGUACGCUCAACAUCUCAUCAAUCAUUUGCCAUCAUCUGCUAUAAAUGGCAAGACUCCUUUGGAGAAAUGGUAUGGAAAACCUGCUACUGAUUAUGACACCUUGCGCAUUUUUGGUUCUAUUGCAUAUUAUCAUGUGAAAGAAUCAAAGUUAGAUCCAAGAGCAAAGAAGGCUCUAUUCAUGGGCUUCAAUGCUGGUGUUAAGGGAUAUCGUUUGUGGUGUCUAGAGG